UCUUUGAAAGGAUGGAAGGGUGGGACCUGGUCAGUGGGGUGAUAUUAAUCAAUAAAUUCACUCUAAACACACGCCUUAGCGUGAGGGUGGUAACGUAGCGUAAUCAUUUGGCCUUUAAUUGGGGUCUAGUAGGAAUGGUGAAACGAUCUUGAAACUGUCUCAGAUGUUAAAGUUUAAAACUUAAAAGUGUGGUUAAGAUUCCUCACAAAGCUUAUAAGACGAGAAGACCCCAUAAACCUUUACUAUAAGAAACUUUUUAACUCUCUAAUUUUGUUAGACCCGUAGUUAAUUGGUUUCCUGGUAGUUUUGCUGGGGCGGCAAUCUUCUAUAAAAACGAAUGAUGACAUAAAAUACAAUCUGCACUAUAAGUCAGUUCAAAAAGAGUUUAACUUAAAUGUUUAACUUCAGUUUCUCUAAAUAAGACCUCUUACCGAACGUUCAAUUAGGUAGACAUUAACUGAUAAAAGGUACUUUGGGGAUAACAGCGUAAUCCAAAGAGAGAGAAGACAUUAUUCUUUGGGUUUGCGACCUCGAUGUUGAAUUAUGA
rnacentral:rRNA from 1 species